ACCCCCUGUAUAUUGCCUCCACAUUGACUCUGUACCGGUACCCCCUGUAUAUUGCCUCCACAUUGACUCUGUACCGGGACCCCCUGUAUAUAGCCUCCACAUUUACUCUGAACCGUUACCCCCUGUAUAUAGCCUCCACAUUGACUCUGUACCGGGACCCCCUGUAUAAAGCCUCCACAUUGACUGUAAGGUCUACCUACACCUGUUGUAUUCAGCAUUUCACUGUAAGGUCUACCUACACCUGUUGUAUUCAGCAUUUCACUGUAAGGUCUACCUACACCUGUUGUAUUCAGCAUUUCACUGUAAGGUCUACCUGCACCUGUUGUAUUCAGCAUUUCACUGUAAGGUCUACCUACACCUGUUGUAUUCAGCAUUUCACUGUAAGGUUUGCACCUGUUGUAUUCAGCAUUUCACUGUAAGGUUCGCACCUGUUGUAUUCAGCAUUUCACUGUAAGGUUUGCACCUGUUGUAUUCAGCAUUUCACUGUAAGGUUUGCACCUGUUGUAUUCAGCAUUUCACUGUAAGGUUUGCACCUGUUGUAUUCAGCAUUUCACUGUAAGGUUUGCACCUGUUGUAUUCAGCAUUUCACUGUAAGGUUUGCACCUGUUGUAUUCAGCAUUUCACUGUAAGGUCUACGUACACCUGUUGUAUUCAGCAUUUCACUGUAAGGUCUACGUACACCUGUUGUAUUCAGCAUUUCACUGUAAGGUUUGCACCUGUUGUAUUCAGCAUUUCACUGUAAGGUCUACCUACACCUGUUGUAUUCAGCAUUUCACUGUAAGGUCUACACCUGUUUUAUUUGGCGCAUGUGACAAAUACAAUUUGAUUUGACACAGUUGAAGAACGAAUUUGGAUUAGUAAAGAAUUACGGGAAACA